rnacentral:rRNA from 1 species
AACUACUGGAAACGGUAGCUAAUACCGCAUAACGUCGCAAGACCAAAGAGGGGGACCUUCGGGCCUCUUGCCAUCGGAUGUGCCCAGAUGGGAUUAGCUAGUAGGUGGGGUAACGGCUCACCUAGGCGACGAUCCCUAGCUGGUCUGAGAGGAUGACCAGCCACACUGGAACUGAGACACGGUCCAGACUCCUACGGGAGGCAGCAGUGGGGAAUAUUGCACAAUGGGCGCAAGCCUGAUGCAGCCAUGCCGCGUGUAUGAAGAAGGCCUUCGGGUUGUAAAGUACUUUCAGCGGGGAGGAAGGGAGUAAAGUUAAUACCUUUGCUCAUUGACGUUACCCGCAGAAGAAGCACCGGCUAACUCCGUGCCAGCAGCCGCGGUAAUACGGAGGGUGCAAGCGUUAAUCGGAAUUACUGGGCGUAAAGCGCACGCAGGCGGUUUGUUAAGUCAGAUGUGAAAUCCCCGGGCUCAACCUGGGAACUGCAUCUGAUACUGGCAAGCUUGAGUCUCGUAGAGGGGGGUAGAAUUCCAGGUGUAGCGGUGAAAUGCGUAGAGAUCUGGAGGAAUACCGGUGGCGAAGGCGGCCCCCUGGACGAAGACUGACGCUCAGGUGCGAAAGCGUGGGGAGCAAACAGGAU